rnacentral:ncRNA from 1 species
AACCUAUCGAUUUUCGAUCCGGACGAGACGCGCCGUACCCGGUAAGGACAAGACGACGCAGC